rnacentral:lncRNA from 1 species
AUCUUUGAUGUGUGAUAUCCUGGUGGAUUAAAUAACUUCUAUGGAAUGAUGACUUAAAAAUACUACUUACGGAACCCUAGGUCUUUGUGAUUUACGUCUCCCUCCUCUGUCAUACUUUUCCUGCUCUAAUUUUUGCACAUUUUGUUGCCAUUUAAAAGCCACGCCUCUUACUAAACCUUUUGCAACAACUUGUUUUUGUAAAGGCUUAUUCUGUUUGUACUCAUAUUUCAAUAUUUAGUGAGAUACAUAAUAAAAAUGACCAGUAGAAAUCCGGGGACGGAAACAGAUUGGGACAGAAGUGCCCAGGUGUGUUUGAGCAGACCUCAGGUACUAACUGGUGUCAGCCUGUGGGUUUUGAGGAGGUCGUAGAAUGUGCGGGUCAGUUAAGCAAAGGCUGCUGGGGGAGCUUGUCUAGUAAUGCACCACGUCUCUUGUGACAGGCUUUAGACUUUGUUCAACGUUGAGAGAUGCAGUAGAAUUAAGAAAAGAUGAGUGCUAUGUCUGUCAUUACCUGUAGGCUGGUACCCCUUCAUAUUGGCCGUUGUAGUGUCUAGAGGCUUUCUCUUUCGUCACAGGAUCAGCUGUGAAUCUCUGAUUGUCCAGUAGCUCUUCUCCAACUGCUCAUUCCAGGGAAGGGGAAAGA